GAGGAAGGUGGGGACGACGUCAAAUCAUCAUGCCCCUUAUGACCUGGGCUACACACGUACUACAAUGGAUGUAAACAGAGGGAAGCAAAAUAGCGAUAUGGAGCAAACCCCAAAAAGCAUUCUCAGUUCAGAUUGCAGGCUGCAACUCGCCUGUAUGAAGUUGGAAUUGCUAGUAAUCGCGGAUCAGCAUGCCGCGGUGAAUACGUUCCCGGGCCUUGUACACACCGCCCGUCACACCAUGGGAGCCGGUAAUACCCGAAGCCAGUAGUUUAACCGUAAGGAGAGCGCUGUCGAAGGUAGGAUUGGCGACUGGGGUGAAGUCGUA
rnacentral:rRNA from 1 species